GCAGGAGCAGAAAGUGAAUGUAUUACUUGGUCAACGAGAGCGUGGUGGCACACCGUCUUCACCCGUCCAGGCCCCCCAGCCCUCGCUACUAGCCAGCUAUGCAUUUCCUGAGCACGCUGUCCCCUGCUGCACAAGGGCUUCUUCAGAAGGUUGCCCUGGAGAAGCCCGGAGUCCCGCCUUGCCCCUGCUUCGCUCUCUCCACAGCCCCACCUCCAGGACUGAUGCCCAGAGCACAGGAGCCCCUUCCUCUGUCUCCAGCAGGAACAAACUCUGCAGGGAGGGGGUUGCCACCUGGGUCUCCCCGGGGGAUCACCCAGAGCCCUGCUUGUACUGAUCUCCCCUACUCCCUUACCAGUUGGUUUCUCUAGGAAGAAUUUUCGUAAUAAAUACUUGCCCUAAACCCUCCUCAUCUCAAGGUCUGUUUCUGGGCAACUCAACUGAAAAUGAAAGCAAACCAAGGAAGGAAAAGGGCCUAAGUGAGUGUAGGGGCACGAAAUCAGUGCACGGGGAAAGAAGAGGCUGUGCAGAGACACCGAAGCAAGGCAGACGGCAGCCCGGCGUCCUUAGGAGUCUCCUAGUUCAGACCAUUCCAGGCUUCUGAGGUAAGAGGAUGCUUUAUCGUAUAAAUAUUUACGUUCCUCUGUGCUCAGCACACCUUGCCUACGCAAGACAAGCUGGAGACAUGGGACCUGAACAGGAAUGGUCACAGACCUGUAUAGUGCUGCCACUCCCGCCUCGUGUGCUGGGAAACAGUGUGUGUCCACCGCGGGGAGAGAAGACAUCAGUCCUUCUUCAGCCUGUUUUUACAAGCACUGAAAGACACCCGCCGAUGCCCAGCUGCUGUUCAAUGCUGUCCUACAUAAAGACAAUCAUUUCCUGGUAGAACACCCCACAGGACGGCAGGCUCUGCAUCGCUGGAGGGAGUCGAGAGAUGGUCUAGAAGGAGAAGGUUGACCUCUCUUUGCCUGAGGUGUCAGGUCUCCAAGGUGGAUUCUUGCCUCUCGCUUCCCCCAAUCCAGCACUGAGAACGCUUGUUGGACAUGUAUUUUGUGGAUUACCAUAAAACCCAAUGUUUGCAUAUUUGUUGCUAUGAAACUGGAGAUGAAGUUUCUUCAAGAAUAUUUACUUCUGGAGACAUUUCUGCUUCUCCUCGGCUCCAUGUGCUGGACGAGAGCAGUCUGGUGGGCAGGGGUGACCCACAGAGAGCUGGUGGAAAGGAGACAUCCCUUUCCUGACUGGGCCGCAGGAUAUCGGGGCCUGCUUGCCUGGACCAAGACUUGCUCCAGGAUUGUGAUGGGUCAACAUUAUGCGUCAACUCAACUGAUUCACAGGGGGCCCAGCCAUCCAGUUAAAUGUUACUCUGGGCAGGUCUGUGAGGGAGUUUCCAGAUGAGCCUGGCAUUUGAAUCUGUGGACUGAGCAAAGAAGAUCCCCCUCCCAAUGUGGGGGCUCACCCAAUCUCUCUAGGGCCUGAAGAAGACAAAAUGUGCAGCAAAGUCGAAUGUGCUCUCUCUGCCUGACAGUGGGAGCUGGGACACCAGGCUUCUCCUGUCUUUGGACUGGCAUUGACUCCAGCAGCCUUCCCAGGUCUCCAGCUUGGCGGACCGUAGGAUUCCUCAGCCUGUAUAACAGCAUGGGCCAGCUCCUUGUCGUAAAUCUUCUGCAGGGUAGCCCAGUGGUUGUGCUUCUCUGGAGAACUCUAAUACAAGAGUCAUUUAAUAUUAAUAUCUGAAAGAAGCAAGAUUCAGACAGUAUACUUUUAAAACAUCCAAGGAGAAGCUGAGAUGAGAAAACAAAUAUUGACUCAUCUUAGUACAUAAUAGGCGUUUACCCUGUAAUAAGGGAAGUAAAAUUUUAGAAAGAGGAAACUGCCUCGAAACUAUGACUUGUGAAAAUGUAUAACUAAAACAACCUUUAAAACUAGUUAACCAGUCCCCCCCUUUUUUUUUCUUCCAAGAACAUCCAUUAUGACAUUUUCUAAUCAAAAAUCAAACACUUAGAAUAAGGGACUUUGUUAAAUAUUACCAAAACUGGUUAUUUGAGAGAAUAUAAUUUUAACCAUUUCUAUACUACAUCAGAAAUUCUGUGACAAUUGCUUUUGAAUUGACUUAGGUUACUUUCUUGAUGUAUUAGUGAUGGUCAUUAUUCUAUUUAGGAAGAAAAAAAAAACCAAACAAACAACAACUAGGACACCUGGGCGGCUCAGUCAGUUAAGUGUUUGCCUUCAGCUCAUAUCAUGAUCUGAGGUGAUGCGAUUAAGGCCCAAGUUGUCUGGCUCCCAGCUCAGAAAGAAAACUUGGUUCAUACAUGGUAUACAAAAUAUUAAUACAGAAUAUCCACUAGUUCUUUAAAGUCUUGGGGUUUGUUUUAAUAUUAUUUUGAGAAUUGAAAAAAAAAAAAUUACUCCCAUGACUUCUACCUGAAUCAAUAGAACAAAAAGCCAAAUGGCACUAAAAGAGUGAGUCUGCUCUUUCUCCCGUCUCCUUUCCUCCCAGAAUCUGCAUCAGACCUCACCUCGGAAGGGACCAGUGCACACUCAGUAAGACUGUUCUCUCUCCUUACAAGUAAUCUUGUGUGAAGACCUCAGGAAUCGUCUUUCUUCAUCCAGAUUUCACCCUCCUAGACGUAUUGUAUCUUCUGGGAGCUGAGCGUUCAUAUGAAAUGCAAAUUUUAUGCCUGAGUAAAGGACUGAGCAUCAUACCAUCUUCCUCAACCUCCCGGACUGAAACUGCAACUUGGGUCUGAGGAGGGGAUGCCCCUUCCCCGCCCGUAGGAGGUAACCCCGGCACUGUCUGUGGCUUCUGGGGUGCAGCAAGUGUUACUCUCCUGCAGGAAGCUCUUUGAUACCUGUGCCCAAUUAAGGGCUCCUGGAACUCGGGGGACACAGUGACUCUCCACACAUGGGCCCCCAGAGGGGAGACCAGAUGACCAGUCUGAGAAAGGAUAGACAACACUGGCUCCCUCUGGCUCCUCCCCAUCUUAGAGGCCUGCUUCUCUGUUGCUUUGGUCUAAAGGACAACAGGAUCUUCUACCUUAAGAUGUGCAGCUCUGGCAUACUGGUUCCUCUGAGCUGAAGGCUUUGGAAGAGAUGCCGGGGGAGACUUUCUCUGAACUCCCCACACUGUGUGAAGACGGAUCCUCCAAAAGGACCUCAGUGUACUCAGCCCCUUCCCAAGAGUUUCACCAACCAAAAGAUUGACUUGUCACACGAGAGGAGACAUGAAGCGGACCCCCCGGCACCCAGACAGACUGUCACAAACCCUUACCUUCCCAUCUCUUCUGCUAAGGGACCAGCCAUGUCCCUGAAGCUAUUCACUCCCCUGAGAUGCCUCCACCAGCCCCUGUCCCUACGAGGAUGGCAUGUGGGCCUGAACCUAAGGCACCCAGAGUGUUGUUCAUCAACCUCGGUAUCUCCCGUGUGCAUGUGAGAUAUCCAUAGUAAUUUGCUUUUUUUUUUUUUUUUCUUGUCCAUCUGUCUUCUAUUAUAGGAGUGUCAUCCAAGAACUCUAAAGAGUAGAGGGGAAUUAUUUUUCCUCCCCCACAGUACCCAGUGUCUCAUAGUGUUAGUGAAAGGACCCCUUCCGUUUGACCACAGGCCUUCUUUCUCCAAACACAAAACGGGAUAUUUGGGCAUCAGAGGACAGAUCUGAGCACUCAAUGCCAGGCUGUUGCACAAUAUCCUGUCCUGCCCUUUGGCAUUCACAGGAUGUGAUUCAGCCUCAGAGAAGCCGAGUCUGGGUCCCGACUGCUGGUUUACUCUGCACAUUCAGUCCCGUCUGCAUGCCGCGGCGGGCCCUCCCCCAGAGUCCUCCUGCAGCUCUGUCCCCCCGCCUAGACCAUACAUUCCUGCAGGCCAGACAUGAAGUCUGAACUAUUUGGGGCCUGUCAGAGCUUAGCAGAGUACCUAGCAUGCAGCCAUCACCCCACAAGCGUUGAAUGAGUGAAACCCAUUGCCUCCUAUUUCGAUUUAUCGUCAUCAGGCAGGCAAUUCUUCCACGGCUCAGUAAUGAAAUUACUGUUUUAAUUAUUCUUGUAAGUCAGAGAUGUGGAUUAGUUUUUCCCAAACUGUUGCCUGGACAGAGUGAAUUGUACAGGUAAGAGCAGGUGACCAGGCCCACAGACCUGAGAAGGCAGGUGUGUAUCGUAGCAGUUGCUCCCGGUCAGACCUGGUGCUGAAGAUGCUACAAGCACCCCCACUUCUUUCUCUCAACAGCCCCAGGAAGCAGGUCUUACCCCAUCAUCUCCUGAGGCUGCUGAGGCUUGGAGACCAAGUGACUUGUAGAUCUGUCUCCACAUCCUGCCCAAGCAGCUCAACAGAGACCCCUCGGGAGGGGUCCUGUUGACACCAGGGGGACUUGGAAACAGGAGACGCAGCCUUGAACCCCCAGCGUGAUGCUCUUCUGAUGCUUGGACCCACGUGCCCUGACACUGCAUAAUACUCCCAGAGUAAUUAAAAGUGGUAUUUCAAUAUUUAUCACAAUGAUUCUUUUCAAUGCCUUUUAGUUUCCCGGGACAUAUUUAUUUUUUCAUUACUUUCUAAGGGAAGCAAGUAAUUAUUAGGUAGUACAUUAACUUUAUUAAAAUCAUUAAAACUCAUGGAAACGCCAAAUAUUUCAAGUAACGAGCAGGAUUCAGUAUAAAGAAUACGGCUUCUUUGAAAUGCUACUUGAGGAGGUGUGAUUACCAAGAACACAAACAAACGAGAAACAAAGAUGAUCACCAGAGCUCCCAGUAAGAAUACAAGUAUUGUGGGAACCCAGGUCAGGAAGGUACUUCUGAGGGGUGAAAAGGCCAAAUAAGAUGUUAGGCGUAGUUCAUGUGAUGCUGUCAGGUCAGACUGAAGCCACCAGUGUAUUAACCUGAUAUUUGGGCCUCGGCUAUAGAAUGGAUAUUUACCGUGCUUUGGUUUAAAUGUUGUUAAAACUGUGCACAAGAUCAUAAACGGAAAAAACCGUGAGGCCAUCAUGAGCAUGAAUGUGGUGGGAAGAAUCCUUUCUUUAAAACCCAGAUGGGGAGUGUCUUCCUGUGAAAUUCAUUAUUUCCACAUUCUCAUGUUUGGGUCUGAGGGCCUCGGUAUCGAUGUGUACAAUUUUGAAAUAUUAAUUACAGUUGGGAAUUUUUUUAUAACAUUAAUAAAAGCCUUGUGUAUGGGACAUUUUCCCAAAAAUGUAAGAAACUCCCCACCCCACCCCCUCAAACUUCCCGCCUUCCCUCCUCCUAAUUCUCAACCCUUUUGGAAUAUGUGCAAAACAUUUCCAAGCACAGAAUGUACUUUUCUUCAGUGUAGUCAGUUUUUCCUCAUGACCAUUUAUAUAAACCUUGGUAAUGUUGAGAACAGAGAAUUCCUGCAGCAACAUAAAUAGCUCGUAAGAACUCUGCCCUUGCCCCCCACCCCACCGAGGGAAUAAUGUUUGUAAUUACGGGAUGCUGUUAGGGGCCCGUAACCAACAGACGCCGGCAUGGCCACUCCUAUUUCCUUUGGCUGGUCAGCGAUUCCGGCACAGAGGCACAGCCAGCGUUGAGCCGAUGACGGGGGGCACCCUGGGGUUGGUGGCACUGUCUAGUGCUAGACAUACAGCCCAUGUUCACCAGGAAGAUAUGAACAGCGAUAAGAAGAGAAUCAUCCCCAAAUUGAGAUGCAGGAACUAGGAAGUCCUCUCAAAAUGGUUGAGGGGUCCUCAUAGAGGGUGGCAUCUCAGCUCUGGUUUGGGGGAAGCAUGUGGAAACGCCCCAAAGGAAACAAUAUGCUGGACGACUCAAAUUAUGGCCUUGGAACAAACAUAGAUUUCCUGAAAAUCCAGAUAAUACUUUUUGUUCUACCAUUUUCUCCUUUUGAUCAGGGUUAGGUUCACUGGAAAACACAAAGUUUUCAGGCUUCACUGUUCAUAAUCCAUUUUCUUCUCCCCAAACCCACUUCCUGGUGGACUGCAUGAACUUUUUAACAAACAAUGGAUAUCUCAACAAUCCCCACUGGUUUGGUGGGAGCAGCUCAACACAAAACAAUUACCUUUCAUCGGCAUGAUGAAAUGAGGCUGUAGGAGGUACUCAUAACUCUCUAGAAGGCUCCAUCUUCUUUUUUUAAAUUGUAUUUUAUUUUAAAGAUUUUAUUUACUUGAGAGAGAGAGAGAGAGAGGGAGCACAAGUAGGAGGAGGGGCAGAGGGAGAAGCAGACUUCCUGCUUCCUGCGGGGCUCUAUCCUGGACCCUGAGAUCAUGACUUGAGCCUAAGGCAGAUGCUUAACCGACUGAGCCACCCAGGAGCCCCAGAACGCUCCUUUCUGUGAUGAUCUGGUUCAGGGGGUACUGUCCCACACAGGGAGGGAAGUAUCCAGAUGUCUUCAGGUCUACAUGAUAGAAGUAUAAAUUCAGUUCUCCCUACGUUGCGUCAUUACCACGAAUUUAUUGUGACACCUUUAUUUUAAAUAUCCACGAAUACACAGUAUUGUCUCAUGGGGGCUUGGUUUAUGACUGCAGAGAAAAGAAGGGCUUUGGGAUGCCGAAGUUCACCGGGUAACUAUGGGUUUCUGUAAACACGUAUGAGGGAUGUGUGGGCCUCUGUGGAGAGCUGAGCAGAGCUGUACCCUGACUCCACGUCACCUUUGAUUGCCCACACUGAUGCUAUGAUACUGCUCUGGAGUCCAUGUCACAACUUUCUGUUUUAUUUCAAAAGAAGGUAGACGUCUCUGUAAAUAAUCACGGUAUUUUCCCUCCUUAGAAAACACUGGUGCAAUGGUGCGUAUUCUUUUUUUUUUUUUCCCCCAGUUACCAAAAAUCCUUCACUGAAAUGGAAAGACAAUCAUCAUGUUUAAUAUUCUUUUAUCACAGAUAGGAAUCUUAUCCCUCAGCUGCUUUUGGAUGAUUCCUUCACUCUUUAAAAUCUCCAAGUUUUUGUUUAACUACUUCGCAUUGCCUUUUAACCUGUCAAUGAACUCUCUCUUUUUUAGAAUUGGAAAGAGUAAAACAAACAAACAAACAAACAAACAAAAAAGCCUUUAUAAUAAGAGAAGAUUCUGGUUUUAUUUAUGCCAUGGCGAGGCCUUUAAUUAUAAACAUAGAGUGGGAUUUUCUCCAGCCCACCCCAAUACUCAAUGAAACAGUUGGCAUAGAUGAUUCUAAACACUGACAACCAACAAGUCACCACCAAAGUCCACCAGCAAGUUCAAGACGGUAGUGGGAACAGCCAGAGCAGAAAGAAGGAGGGGAACCAGAAUCUCCAUCAGAACCAUCCCGCAGAGCCCCUCGAGGGCAGUGUACGUGGCUCAGGGCUGCCUCUGACCACCAGCAGCCCACUCUGCCCUUCCUUGGUUUUCAGUGAGGUUUUGCCUUUCAGGGCCCAGAUGGGCUUCAUCAUUGGGAGACACUCAGGAUCAGAGGAGAUGUCCCUCUAUAAUCAUUCCCUCUGACCUGAGCUCCUGUCAAGCACUUAUCUCUCUGUGGACGAUGGCCACAGGGGCCUCCCUAGAGGUCUUUGUGCCCUUCUCCUGGGAGGUCUGAAUCUUGGUUCCCACUCCCCAUCUCGUGCCUUGUUCCCUUCUUAUCACGUGGUUUGAUCAGAUCACUGUUCUUGAACAUCUCUUCUUUCAAAUUUAAUCUGUGCUUGUGGAAACUUUCUCUCUUCCUGUGAACCCGGGAGAGAGGAGGAGUGGGGGACUUCUGUUUUUCUUCCACGGCCAACAGAACUAAAAUGAUCACUCACUCCUUUCGCCACCAGCUCCAGAGUCUCCUUAUGUCACCCCAGUCCUACUCCACACAACUGGAGUGCUCUCCAGGUAGAGCAUGGCUAUUUUACAGUGGUAGGAUGCAAAAUGUGCUCCUAUUUAAUAGGCACAAUGAAAUCAUCACCUUCCAAAUACUGUCUUUCCUUUUUCUACUUUUUCCCCCCUAAGCAUACAGAAAAAAAAAAAAAAAUGUUCUUUCUUAUCAGAGUCUAACAUGGAGAAUAGGCUGAGAUAUUCCUGUCGCUGAGUUUUAUCAUACAUGCCACAUGGAAUGUAUCUUCACAGUCCUUCUUUGACGGUGCUCCGUGCCCUCACCGCCUUAUGUUGAUGACAAACGUCUAGCAUUUCGGGAGCACAGCCAUGUACGCUUUGCAUGAAUACAAGGGACAGGACCCAGAGAUUGAAGUAUUAAAUAAGUCUUUUAAACAUGCUUCUGGACACACAAGAUCAUUGACUCUACUGCCUUAAAUGUGUUCAUCAAGGAGCCUGUGUGGUUCUGCUGAAAGUGAAGCCCGAAGGCGACCAUAUUUGCUACAUGGAACCAUUUAUACACAGUUUGCACAUCAAGGGUGAGCACCUGAUCCAAGCCGGCCAGGUAGGCUGGUCUGGAGCCUAUACUUGUAAGGUCCAAAAAUUCUCUCUCAGCACUUGGGCCUGAGACUACAGAGAAAAGGAGAUACAAUAAGCCCUGCUUAUCUUCAGUUUUGCUUUCCAUGGCUUCAGUGACCGCCCCCAUAACCACACUCCAGAGCAGAUGGUCCUCAAGGACAGUCCACCCCUCCACCCCAGUGCAUCUCAUCAGGAUUUGGCAAGAAAAAUAUGAAGAGACUAAAUGGGAAAAUAAGCUGCUUUCACCGGAGACACAGCUAAAGAACAGUUGGCUAACUGAAACCAUUUUCCUUUGACAUUUCCUGCCUCUCUUGAACAAAAGGUUCCCAGACUCUCCACAGCUUGACUCUGAAUGAGCUCAACGAUUAAUUUAUCCGACGAAAGGUGCUCCAUGCCUCACUAUGCCCUUCGAACAAAGAGAAAUUGAUUCUUCAAUAUCAUUGUUUUCACAUGGUAAGUGGUAGCACAAAUGGUUCAUUUAUAAUUCUCUAGGCAUAAACCUUUAGGUUAUGGCAGGUGUUUGAAAUACUUCAAGCUGUUUAUCAUGAUCUCAUCAGCAGCACCCAGACAAAGAACUCAUCUUACCAAUUCUGGAGUAGAAACGUUAAAACAAAACAAGGUGACUUUCAUUUGUCUGCCUGCCCCGUCAAGGAUGGCUGUGCCUCUGCAUGGGGAAGACCUUCCAAUACUGCAUAUGUUUUAGAUCGUGUAUUCUUGAAGAAUGCUGGCCACGUCCAGCUUCAUGACUGACCAGGAGCUGCCGUUGAUCUUAGGUGGUUUGUCAGCUCUGCUCUGGUCUUAAUUAUCUGAGUUUCAGGGAAUGCUUCAUCCAGUAAUACACAUACAGUAAUGUGUGACUUGAUGGAGUUGUAAUGAAUGGGCUGACUUGUGCAAGAGUCUAUUUGUGUCCCUGUCAAAUUCACAUGUUGAAACCUAACCCCAGUGUGAUGGUAUGAGGAGGCAGGGCCUUGGGGAGGCUACUAGGUCAUGAGACCUAGGCUUGGUACCCUUCCAGAAGGGAUCCCAGAGAGCUCCCUUGCCCCUUCCAUGCACUCAUUAUAGCGGAGGUAGUGAGAAGACGCUGUCUGUGAACCAGGAACUGGGUCCUUACUAGAUACCGGAUCUGCUGGCCCCUUGAUCCCAGGCUUUCAGCCUCCAGAACUGCAAGAAGUAUAUUUCUCUUGUGUAUAAGCCAGACUGGAUAUCUACGGUAUUUUGUUGUAGCAGCCUGAAGGGACAAAGACAAAUCGUGUUUCCCAAAAGAUAUGCUGAAGUCCUUACCCUCAGCACCUGUAAACAUGAACUUAUUUAGAAACAGGGCCUUUGCAGAUAAUCAGGUUAAGAUGAUGAGGUCAUCCUGGAGUAUGAUGGCAUCCUUGUAAGAUGUGAAGAGACAUGAACCCAAGGAGACGGCCGUCUGAAGAGAGGCGGAGACUGCAGGAUGCAUCUACAAGCCAGGGAUCGCUGGCGGCCAGCAGAGGCUGAGGGAGAGGCAAGGAACAGACCCUUCCUCCGAGCUCCCAAGCCCAGGGAACCAAGCCUGAUGAACUUUGAUUUCAGACUUCUGGCUUCCAAAGAUGUGAGAAAACGCAUGUCUGCUGUUUAAAGAUGACCAGUUCAUAGUAAUUCAUUAUAGCAGCCUUAGGAAACUCAUACAUGUGGAAAAGAAUGGAUUUUUUCUAUAUGAAGUUAAUACAUAAAACAAUGUUUUAAAAAGAGAAACACUUCUUGAAAUACGGUUAAGAUUACUGAGUAUCUGGGACGCCUGGGUGGCUCAGGUGGUUAAGCAGCUGCCUUCGGCUCAGGUCAUGAUCCCAGCGUCCUGGGAUUGAGUCCCACAUUGGACUCCUUGCUCGGCGGGGAGCCUGCUUCUCCCUCUGCCUCUGCCUGCCAUUCUGUCUGCCUGUGCUCGCUCUCAUUCCCUCUC